GGAUUUAUAGCUCAGUGGUAGAGCACAUGCUUAGCAUGCACGAGGCCCUGGGUUCAAUCCCCACUACCUCAA
rnacentral:tRNA from 1 species